AAUUACUGAAAAGGUUCGUAGCUAAAAUUAUAUAAAAAAAAUAAAUCAAAAGUAAACAAUAUACAUACCAUUACACUCUAUAAUUUGAGAUUAUAUGAGUUUAGGUAUAAAUGGAAAAUCAAUAAGAAAGGAAUACUUUAAAGAUUAUCACAGAAAGAUGAGGGUUUUUUAAGGAACUAUCGUUUUUAUAAUAUCACGUAAAUAAUGGUAGAGGAAGGUAUGGG